GUCGAGAAUCUUUCACAAUGGGGGCAACCCUGAUGGAGCGACGCCGCGUGGAGGAUAAGGUCUUCGGAUUGUAAACUCCUGUCAUGCGUGAACAAGGUUGCUUGGAUAAUACCUGAGCAAAUUGAUGGUAGCGCAAGAGGAAGAGACGGCUAACUCUGUGCCAGCAGCCGCGGUAAUACAGAGGUCUCAAGCGUUGUUCGGAAUCACUGGGCGUACAGGGUGCGUAGGUGGCGUGGCAAGUCAGAUGUGAAAGCCCGGGGCUCAACCUCGGAACUGCAUCCGGUACUGCCAUGCUAGAGUACUGGAGGGGUGACUAGAAUUCUCGGUGUAGCAGUGAAAUGCGUAGAUAUCGAGAGGAAUACCAAAGGCGUAGGCAGGUCACUGGACAGUUACUGACACUGAGGCACGAAGGCCAGGGGAGCGAACGGGAUUAGAUACCCUGGUAGUCC
rnacentral:rRNA from 1 species